rfam:Schistosoma mansoni, Puerto Rico, WGS project CABG01000000 data, contig: 0013
GUACUGCUGAAGAGUUCCACAAUAGGACGAAACGGCCGUCCAGUGC